AUUGAACGCUGGCGGCAGGCCUAACACAUGCAAGUCGAACGAGUGGCGGACGGGUGAGUAAUGUCUGGGAAACUGCCUGAUGGAGGGGGAUAACUACUGGAAACGGUAGCUAAUACCGCAUACCAUCAGAUGUGCCCAGAUGGGAUUAGCUAGUUGGUUGGGUAACGGCUCACCAAGGCGACGAUCCCUAGCUGGUCUGAGAGGAUGACCAGCCACACUGGAACUGAGACACGGUCCAGACCCCUCAGGUAGGCAGCAGUGGGGAAAAUUGCACAAGGGGCGCGAGCCUGAUGCAGCCAUGCCGCGUGUAGGAAGAAGGCCUUCGGGUUUGAAAGUACUUUCAGCGGGGAGGAGUUACCCGAAGAAGAAGCACCGGCUAACUCCGUGCCAGCAGCCGCGGUAAUUC
rnacentral:rRNA from 1 species